rnacentral:rRNA from 1 species
AGUGAACGCUGGCGGCAGGCCUAACACAUGCAAGUCGAACGGCAGCACAGUAAGAGCUUGCUCUUACGGGUGGCGGGUGGCGGACGGGUGAGGUAGACACCGGAACCUACUUUUUCGUGGGGGAUAACGUAGGGAAACUAACACCAAUACCGCAUACGGCCUACGGGUGAAAGCAGGUGAUCUUUGGACCUUGCGCGUUUGAAUGAGCCGAUGUCGGAUUAGCUAGUUGGCGGGGUAAAGGCCUACCAAGGCGACGAUCCGUAGCUGGUCUGAGAGGAUGAUCAGCCACACUGGAACUGAGACACGGUCCAGACUCCUACGGGAGGCAGCAGUGGGGAAUAUUGGACAAUGGGCGAAAGCCUGAUCCAGCCAUACCGCGUGGGUGAAGAAGGCCUUCGGGUUGUAAAGUCCUUUUGUUGGGAAAGAAAAGCAGCAGGUUAAUACCCCGCUGUUCUGACGGUACCCGAAGAAUAAGCACCGGCUAACUACGUG